GAGAGGCGAGGGGGGGUGGGGGGUGGCGGCCGGGCAGCGCGGCGAGAGCGGGCGCCCCCCAGCCGUGCCCGCGCCCCGGUGCUGCAUGGCGCUGCUCAGCCUGCCUUGCAGAGGGAGCUCGAGUCCCGCUCUGCGCCUCGCAGCGCCUCUCACUCCGCAGCACACGCAGCGCAGCGAGGCGGCGGCCGGCAGGAGCGGGACACGCAGCCGCCGCCGCCGCCAGCGCCCCGCGGGCAGGAGCCGGCCGGACACCAAGGGAGGCCACGGGCAGCGGGCGGAGGGCGCCGGGCCGAGGCCCGCAGAGUUCCAGGAGCAGAGUCAUUUUGUCCUGACCUGCAGCUCCCUGCCCGCCCUGACGGAAGGCUGCUUUCCUGCUCCAGUCUCGCUACAGCCAAGGUGUAACUUAUCCUGGCAGGUGGUGCUGCACUGCAGGGACGGGGCUGGGUUUCGGCAGGGCAAGGAGGACUCACACGCAGGUACAGAAGACAGUAGAAGCUAGGGCUGGGCAUCUCCAUUGUACAGCUUCAACACAGCCACCUUGAGCCACCUUGGGUGACACUUCCCAUGCCCAGCAGCCAAAUUUUGGCAACAUCUCGGCAACUCUUGCAAAGCUCAGGGAAGGUGGAAACUCCUUCCACUGCCAAAAAGAAGAAACCUGCUCCCCUUUUGGUGAAACCAAAGGCCACCGUGGGAGCAGUGCUGAUCCUCAGCUGUCCAAGCACCUGAGAAACGCCCAGCUGAGCCCAGCUUUGUCCCUCGGUCCAGAAGCAUUCAUCUGCACAUUUAUAAGGACAACACUGGAAAUGGCAUUCAAAUUGCCACAGUGAUGGCACCCCUGCAAGGCAGGACAGUGAGGGUGCUGUGGGACUGCGCAGUUCCAUGCAUGGCCGGGGUGAUCCUCUGCCCUGGUUGUGCCAUGCCAGGAGGGCCAAGGCUUCUGUACCUUCUGCUGGGUCUCCAGCACACCUGGCUGCGAGAGGCACCCAGCAGCCCCACAUGCUGGCCCAGGCUGGAGCUUGCUGGUGGCUGAGAUGCAGGGCAGGGCAAUGCCAGAAAUCGCAGUUAUGCCCCGCUGCCACCCUCCAGCCUGCUGCGCUGAU